UACAGGGGGGGCAAGCGUUGUUCGGAAUUACUGGGCGUAAAGGGCCAGUAGGCGGCCAACUAAGUCCGACGUGAAAUCCCCAGGCUUAACCUGGGAACUGCGUCGGAUACUGGAUGGCUUGAAUUCGGGAGAGGGAUGCAGAAUUCCAGGUGUAGCGGUGAAAUGCGUAGAUAUCGGAAGGAACACCAGUGGCGAAAGCGAGGUCCUGGGCUCUUACUGACGCUGAGACGCGAAAGCCAGGGGAGCGAACGGG
rnacentral:rRNA from 1 species